rnacentral:misc_RNA from 1 species
UUGGUUUGAUACGGGUGGUCGGCUCCCUGCUUGAGCAGGCACGGCCACGCGUGCAUUCCUUUUCAGAUGUGCGGCAAGGCUUGUAUGGUCUUGAUCGUAUAAGUGGGUUUCCUGUGUUGAAUACCUGAUCAACGGCAUCGUUUCGAUCAAAAGCGUACCUUUUUCGUCUAGUGUUGCACCCGCACCAUUGGAUGAACCGUGUAGCAUUCUCUUUGAUCCAUACAAUUGACAUUCAUUGUUAGUUGUUUGGCCCAUUGAGCGUGUCUUGGUCCCUUGAAUAUGGAAGCCAAAGUGGGCACGGGAUCGCAAGAUCCGUUUAGUGCCCUAAUUGAGCGUUUUCGCUUCUCUUACACGACYGCCUCUCACGUAUGGCACGUCCCAGCGUGUUUGGCUAUGUCGAAGAGGAAUGU